GGUUCGAUGGUGUAGUUGGUUAUCACGUCUGUCUCACACGUCCUCCCUAAGAAGGAUGGAGCGCACAGGAGGUCUCCGGUUCGAGCCCGGAUCGAACCA